GCAGAAGAAAAACAAAGCUACAGAGAUCAGUCCUGUCCAUGGAUCACAACAGACGAUGACUCUCUCAAGAGCUUCCUGCUCAUGCACACAUGGGAGGCAGCAAUGAGGACUCAAAUUGUGAUCCUGCCACCCACAUGGGAUGCUUGGAUUGAGUUCCUGCGGCUUAGCUUCUGCCACACCCCUGCCCAGGUCUUUGCAGACAGUUACGGCAUGAACCAACAGGUUCUUCUUCAAACAGUCCUACAAUCCACAGCAGCCACCUCCACCAACCUCCAAACCCAUCAAAGACAACGGAGAGCUAUGGACACGUUCUUAGAGGUCAACUCUUUUUAAAAAUUAAACUUUUUUCUUCAUAUCACAUUUUCCAUAUAGCUUCACUCAUCUUGUGCUUUUAAUUUCUUUAGGAGAGAUUGCCCUCCGACUUUUGACAUCCAAACCCUUUACUUAGGUCCUUUAUUUCAUCUCAGAUCACUCCUCAAAUGACCACAAUGGCCAGGCCAAAGCCAUGAGCCUGGAGCUCCAUCCAGUUGUGCCACAUGGGUUACAGGGGCUAAAUAACUUGGGCCAUAUGCAGCUGCUUUCCCAGGCAUAUUAUCAGGGUGUUGGGUUAGAAUUGGAGUUGCCAGGAAUCCAACUGGGCCCAGAUGGGGUGCCAGCAUUGCAAGUGUCUGCUUAACCUCUGACCUACAACAUUGUCCCCUUUCUAAAUUACCAUUCUCUUUUCCUGAUCCUUUAUUAAAAAAAAUUCUUAAAAUAAUGUGUUCUUGUUGCCCUUUUUUAAUACCCACCUACUUCCUUUUAGAGAGAAUGUUAGAGUUCCUAUAAUCAGGGCUGGCGCCGUGGCUCACUUGGCUAAUCCUCCACCUGCGGUGCUGGCACCCCAGCUUCUAAUCCCAGUUGGUGCACUGGGUUCUGUCCUGGUUGCUCCUCUUCCAGUCCAGCUCUCUGCUGUGGCCCCGGGAAGGCAGUGGAGGAUGACCCAAGUGCUUGAGCCCUGCACCUGCAUGGGAGACCAGGAGCAAGUACCUGGCUCCUGGCUUUGGAUCAGUGCAGAGGCCAUUUGGGGGGUGAACCAAUGGAAGAAAGACCUUUCUCUCUCACUCUCUAACUCUGCCUGUAAAAAAAAAAAAGAGUUCCUGUACCCAGUGACUAGCUGUAUUUCACUUUGCAUGCUCUGUUGUAUAUUAACCAUAUAACAAAAUUGUGAUUAAGCUAUCAAUUUUUUUGUGAUUAUCCUAUGGGCCAGAUACUAUGUUAGAGAUUUUAUUAAAUUCAAGUUCAUUGGUUCACCUACUCCAGUCGUGUUUUCUUUGCUUAUUCUACUUCUGCCAGGUAGAUAUGCACAAAGAACAUUUUGUUUAAUUUUUUAUUUUAAUUUGUUUUCUCUUCAUUCACUUCUUACUAAUAUAUACCUAUUACAAUGGCUUCUUCCCUUAAGCAGCUAAGUUCUACAUGCAUAUUGAUAAUUUUGAGACCCUUGCUCCAGUAUCAUAUUUUUAAUGCUUGAGAUUCUUAAAUACUUAACAGCAACUACAUAAUAACAGACUAGCAUCUAAAAGUUGAUACAUACAAGAACAGAUCAUUAUCUUUUUUGUUUCUCUACCUUUUUCUAUAAAAAG